rnacentral:rRNA from 1 species
CAAUAGCGUAUACUAAAGUUGUUGCGAUUAAAAAGCUCGUAGUUGGAUCUCAGGCAUGGGCGCACGGUCCGCCUCGCGGCGGUCACUGUGUGUUUUGUUUCCCAUCCUACGCUUCCCGGUUAUCAGCCCAUGGUGCUCUUCACUGAGCGUUUUGGGUGGCCGGAACGUUUACUUUGAAGAAAUUAGAGUGUUCAAAGCAGGCACGUCGCCUGAAUAAUGGUGCAUGGAAUAAUGGAAUAGGACCUCAGUUCUAUUUUGCUGGUUUUCGGAACACGAGGUAAUGAUUAAGAGGGACAGACGGGGGCAUCCGUAUUGCGGUGUUAGAGGUGAAAUUCUUGGAUCAUCGCAAGACGAACAACUGCGAAAGCAUUUGCCAAGCAUGUUUUCAUUAG